AUUGAACGCUGGCGGCAGGCCUAACACAUGCAAGUCGAGCGAGAGGCGGACGGGUGAGUAAUGUCUGGGAAACUGACUGAUGGAGGGGGAUAACUACUGGAAACGGUAGCUCAUACAGCAUACCAUCAGAUGUGCCCAGAUGGGAUUAGCUAGUAGGUGGGGUAACGGCUCACCUAGGCGACGAUCGCUAGCUGGUCUGAGAGGAUGACCAGCCAAACUGGAACGGAGACACGGUCCAGACUCCUACGGGAGGCAGCAGUGGAGAAUAUGGCACAAUGGGGGCAAGCCUGAUGCAGCCAUGCCGCUUGUGUGAAGAAGGCCUUCGGGGUGUAAAGCACUUUCAGCGGGGAGGCGUUACCCGCAGAAGAAGCACCGGCUAACUCCGUGCCAGCCGCCGCGGUAAUAC
rnacentral:rRNA from 1 species